rnacentral:rRNA from 1 species
GCAUAUCAAUAAGCGGAGGAAAAGAAACCAACAGGGAUUGCCUCAGUAACGGCGAGUGAAGCGGCAAAAGCUCAAAUUUGAAAUCUGGCACCGUUAGGUGUCCGAGUUGUAAUUUGGAGAGGAUACUUCGGGUGUGGCUACGGCGUAAGUCCCUUGGAACAGGGCGUCAUAGAGGGUGAGAAUCCCGUCUUAAGUCGUUUGUCCACGCCCAUGCGAAGUUCCUUCGACGAGUCGAGUUGUUUGGGAAUGCAGCUCUAAGUGGGUGGUAAAUUUCAUCUAAAGCUAAAUAUUGGCCGGAGACCGAUAGCGAACAAGUAGAGUGAUCGAAAGGUUAAAAGCACCUUGAAAAGGGAGUUAAAUAGCACGUGAAAUUGUUGAAAGGGAAGCGCUUGCAACCAGACUCGGUCAUAGGGGCUCAGCAGGCAUGCGUGCCUGUGUACUCCCCUGUGUUCGGGCCAGCAUCAGUUCUGGCGGUUGGUUAAAGGCCCUUGGAAUGUAUCGUCCUCCGGGACGUCUUAUAGCCAAGGGUGUAAUGCAGCCAGCCGGGACUGAGGAACGCGCUUCGGCACGGAUGCUGGCGUAAUGGUUGUAAGCGACCCGUCUUGAAACACGGACC